AGCAGUGAGAUACAAUGUAGGAAAAAGCUUAUGAACUUCCGUAACGUUACACACCCAUGUACGUGCUAUAGUUGGAACGAAUUCCUCGUGAACAUGUUUCCUGUUAACUUUCGAGUAGCAUUGCUACUUCGUCUAAAGCGGAGACGUCCUAUGAAUAGCUCAGAAUUUGCUUCCAUUCUUGCUGACCUGUGAGCCCAGCCACCGCAUUGGUUUCUGCUGAUUCUCGUAUGCCAGGCUGCUGUAGUUAGCCACUUGACAUGGGACCGAAAAGGUUACUGUCUGACCAGCAGGAGCUUGAGAGGUCGGUUGCAAAGAUCGCAAGGCUUGAAGUGUAUGGCUGGACAGGGGCGAAUGAGCGGACCUUCGUGGCGGUGAAGCCGGACGGGGUGCAGAGGCGGCUGGUGGGCGAAAUCAUCCGGCGCUUCGAGCGGAAGGGCUUCCACCUGGUGGGGCUCAAGCUGGUGCAGGCGUCGGAGAGCCUCUUGAAGGCCCAUUACUGGGAGCUGAGGGACAAGCCCUUCUUCAACGGCCUCAUCCGCUACAUGAGCUCCGGGCCCGUGGUUGCCAUGGUGUGGCAGGGGCUGGACGUGGUGAAGACAGCACGCAGAAUGCUAGGAGAGACCAACCCUGCUGACUCUCUCCCAGGAACCAUCCGAGGAGACUACUGCCUGGAAGUGGGCAGGAAUGUGAUCCAUGGCAGUGACUCGGUGGAGAGCGCACAGAGGGAGAUCUCACUGUGGUUCCAAAGUCAAGAGCUCACGUGCUGGGAGGACUGCAGCCAGCACUGGAUCUAUGCAUGAAGCGCAUGCAUGCACAAGCACGCACGCACACACGCGCACAAAUACACGACAGUACAAAUACACACACACACACUUUUAAGGCAAUAAGAAUGCAUAAUAACCGUCAUUUAGCUAAUCUGUGCUCCCAGGUAAAACAUAAAAACUCUGUCCAUAAAAUGUAAAAAUUUUUAUCUAUGUGCAUUUUUUUCCUUUUUUGGAUUCUGUUUAAAUCUGUUUCGAUUAAUUCAUUGAAUUCUAAACCAUUUGCUAAUUUAACUAAUUUGCUAGUAACUUCAAGGUGAUUUAUGUAAAUAAGGAAAGCUAUAGGUCACAACACUGAUUCUCGUGGGACUCCACUUCCCACAGUACCUUGCUCGUAUAAAAUCCCUCCUUAUGGUUUGUGUUCUGCUCUGGAGUCGGUUUCAGAUCCGCCCUGAAAUGACUUGCGUAAUUCUCAUGCACUCCAGAAGUCCGAGAGCAUCGUUACACGUGACCUCCAGUCAGUCCUCAGCCAGCUCUCGUUCUUCAAAUCACGCACACUUCUAACUUUGUUAUUCGCAAACGCGCGCAUACAAAGACUGGCCGGAGAGUCGCGGGACAGACGGUCCUGAACUCUGAACCCUGACUCGCUCCGGACGUGUUAAGAUGGCGUCCAUCUUGUUUUUUGUAGCUCACAGUUUAAGUAGCUCUGUAGGUGCCGGGGCUGAUCCUGGAGCCAGUUGCAGCAGAUGGGUGUAUGCGCGCUCAGAGUGCCACUGGUCUAGUCGGGGCUCCACGGUCUGCUUGCUCGAAGGGAAACUCCUGCACUGGGCUCCUUAUUUUAUCCGUCCUCUUCUCCUCGGCCCUCACGUGACUCGGAAAUCAAGGUCCGGUCCGCCGUCUAUAAGGCUAAUUCCGUCGAAUGCUCCUCGGAGGAGCGAGGAGGCUCCCGAAGGAUGCUUGAGCGAGGAAGCGCGAGUGCAUCCUGUUGGGAAGUAUUUUUCGGAACGCGUGGCGUAUAAACGAUCGAACUGUGGCUCCACAUCUCCCCAUCUGCAAUUGAGGUGGCUUCAGACUGAUGCUUGACUGAGCGAGGAUGUUCCGUUUGCCUGAUACACGUUGCCUCGAUUCCUCGGUCCUCACAUCUCACCCUUGCAUCUCUUCCUCGUGUCCUCCGCUGGGCGGAGCUAAGGAGCGAGGAAAGGACGCGAGGAACAGAUGCAAGGAGUGAAAAUAAGCGACUGAAAUGAGCCCGGUGUCUUCCUCUGACUGGUGUCUGUGUAGAAUUGAGUGUGGUCGGUGAAUACAACUCCAAUACGAGAGGCGAAAAGAAGAAAAGUCAUUUUUUUAAAAGAGGUGCUUGACAUGUCCUCAAUGCAAACUUUAUAUGUACACAUCCUGACUGAAGUCUUUUAGGUCUUAGCUGCUCCUGAAUGGGGCGAACACUCCUUUCCCCCAAACCGCUUUUCUACCUAUUUUAGUCUGCAGUGGCUCCAAACACUAUUAGAAAUGGUCCCAAGAAGUGACUAGUGGCCUAGACCGUGGAAUGUUCCGGAACUUAACUUGUUUAAAAAUGACAUCAUUCUUGGGUCAUAGAAUCUGUCCAUGUUUCCAAAUUAUAGGUGCUUUUACUUAAGACUACAUCUCUACCACUAGUCUAUUGUAGUAAAAGAUUAUCAUGCAGAUAACCUUGCAUGGAAACAUGGCUAAUCUUAAAAAGAGGUGGUUAACCAGCACAAGCCCUGAACAUGCGCUUACAUUGUCAUAAAAAGGUUGUAUAAUUAGAGUAUUUUUAUAUCUAUGGAAACGUUUGUAUGCUCUGAUAAUGGUGUCUACUAUUGUAGUAAUGCGACUGGAUUAAUUGAUCCAAAAGAGAAUGCAGAAAAUUUGUUUGAACAUGAACUGAGCAAACCUGUGUGAAACAUGUACUGUAAGAACAGCUGAUGUGUUUUAAAUGUUAAACCUGAUUGAACUGUGUGAUAAGUCCAGUCUUAUGCCUUUACUGCCCAAAAAUCAGUGCACCAUAACAAUAUCGUAAUUUGAAGAAACCGAGUUUCUGGUCAGCUUGAUAUUGAAUGUAAUUCAGGGAAUACUUGGGCAGAUAAAAUGAUGUUAUGUAAUCUGUCAUGGCCUUCUUUAAACAAAAAUAUCUCAUCGUCAAAAUCAGUUCCCUUUCGUUACUGAAGAGCGAAUGUGUUUGAGUGAAUUUAUUUUAUUUAUUUAUUACUAUGUAACCAUAUGCAAUUUGUAAGCAAUGCAGGGUAAGUUACCUGGACACCUAUUGUCCUUGGCUUUGUACUUGAUGAGUGGGAAAAAAACACUAUUCCUUGUGACCAAAAAUGUCCAAAAUGAAAUAAAGGUCCAAGUGAAGAUUG